GAAAACUCAACAUUUGCACCAUUGCAUAUUCCAAGAUGGGACAAUGAAUUGUUUCUACAAAAACAUGGGCAGAUGAUCACAGAUGUGGAGAAAUUAUGCGAAAAGAACACCGAGUGUGCAAAGAAGCAGAAGAAUCCACAUACAACCGGGAGAAAAAGCCAUGCUAGGCUCAGAAAAGAGAUGGAAAUUAAGAGCAAUCGAAAGGUUAGCAAGAUUGAACUAUGGGAUGAAGCUCAUAAGCAGAAGAAGGA